rnacentral:rRNA from 1 species
CUGCUGCCUCCCGUAGGAGUCUGGACCGUGUCUCAGUUCCAGUGUGGCUGGUCAUCCUCUCAGACCAGCUAGGGAUCGUCGCCUAGGUGAGCCGUUACCCCACCUACUAGCUAAUCCCAUCUGGGCACAUCCGAUGGCAAGAGGCCCGAAGGUCCCCCUNUUUGGUCUCGCGACGUUAUGCGGUAUUAGCUACCGUUUCCAGUAGUUAUCCCCCUCCAUCAGGCAGUUUCCCAGACAUUACUCACCCGUCCG